rnacentral:tmRNA from 1 species
GGGGUUGUACUGGUUUCGACGGGGUUUUUGAAGUUAUGGAAGCCACUCGUGGACUGGGACCACGUUAAACUCAGAAAAUUUAAAAUUAAACGCAAACAAUAAAGUUGCACUUGCUGCCUAAUUAGGCAGCUGUCGACCUUAGGUAACUCGCUGCUUAAGUGUUCGGCAUCGAACUUGCGAGGCACUUUUAAGUCUAAGCUUUGCGGCUUAAAAAGAUUUAUGAAGCUACUAAGAUUGUAAGCCUGUCAAUGGGCGUAUAAUUAAGGGAAUGUCAAAACACUGACUAUGGUGGAAGAUGCCGUAAUGAAUAGGAUUUCGGACAGGGGUUCGAUUCCCCUCAGCUCCAU